UUUCAUCCAAUUUCAGUCUUUUGCUGCUUUCCAGCUUCACCUGAGGUGGUUCAGAGACAUGGAGGGGGUUGUGGGGGCACAGGCAGCCUCCUGACCAGUUCUCUGCCUUACUCCUCCACUUUCUCCACUGCCCCCUGGGAGGCUGAGGCAGGAGAAUGGCUUGAACCCACGAGGCAGAGGUUGCAGGGAGCCAAGAUCACACCACUGCACACCAGCCAGGGCAACAGUGUGAAACUCCAUCUCAAAAAAAAAAAAAAAAAAAAAAGGAAAAAGGAAUUAUUAAAAAGGAACCAGAACUUGAAGAUUUGGGAAAUUCUCAACCUAUUCGUAUUACUGAUGACCCUUCCAAACAGCUGUGCCAGUGGGUCUGGAAGGCAGGGCACAAACUAGAGGAUUAUUCUAGAGCCUUAAGAUAUAAUGGGAUUUGCCUAACUAGGUUUUAGACUUGCUUGGUUCCUGCUGUCCCUUUCUUCAGUUCAAUUUCUCUCUUUUGGAAUGGGAACAUCCCUCCUAUGCCUGUCCCACCAUUGUAUUUUGGAAACAGAUAACCUGUGUGAGUUCACACGUUUACAGCCAGAGAGGAAUUUUGCCUCAAGAUUCAUCAUCAAAUCUCACUCAUAUCUGAUUUAGAUGAUAUUUAGAUAAGUCUUUGGACUUUAGACUUUGGAGUUGAUGCUGAAAUGAGUUAAAACUUUUGGAGCUGUUGGGAUGAAAUGAAUAUAUUUUGCAUGAGAUAAGAACAUGAAUUUGGGGUGCAGGGGUGGAAUGCUAGAGACUGAAUUGUGUUGCCCCCCAAAAAUUUGUAUGUUGAAGCCAUAGCCCCCAAUAUGACUGUAUCUAGAUAUAAGGUUUUUAAGGGGUAAUUAAGGUUAAAUGAGAUCAUGAAGAUGCAUCCCUAAUACAAUAGAACUGUGGCCUCACAAUAAGAGGAAGAAAGAGAGAGCUCUGUCUCUCUCUCUCCUAGAUAUGUGACUCAGUGAGAAGGCAGCCACCUGCAAGCCAGGAAGAGGGCCUUCACCAGGACCUGACCAUGCUGGCACCCUGAUCUUGAACUUCCAGCCUGCAGAACUGGGAGAAAAUUAAUUUCUGUUUCUUAAGCCACUCAGUCAAUAGUAUUUUGUUAUGGCAGCCUGAGCUGACUACUAGAAUCAUGGCUGUGGGAAAGAUGGAGUGGAGAAAAAGGUUACAAGCUGAGGAAGUCAAGGAGCUGAGAAGUCAGGAUAUCAGCUGGGUCAGCCACAUACACACCAAAGACACCAGAAUAACAGUUGGACUGAGAGUGCUGAUGGCAAGGGGCAGUUGCCAAACACUUUAAAGCACAAAUGAGGGGGACUGUCCAGGAGGGUGUCAGAUGACAGCACAUCAGAGGGAUAGGAUUUGUUCUGCCUGGGAGCAGCAACGUCUGCUGAUGGAGGGAAAGAAGACAGGUUCCAAGAUCCCAACAGUGGGGUCCACAAGGGAACAAGGAGGUGAACAACUCACCUCAAAGGACAGAUGAUCUAAGAACAUUUAUACUGUGUUGACUCCACCACCCAGAUAUUUAGUUCAGUACACAAAUGCCUCCCACCAAACGCCCAAAAUGUUUCUCUAAAGUUUCUCUGUAUAAAAGAGACUGAAAGGAAAGGCAAUCAUUAACACAAGUGAUAGAAAGUUACCAAAAAGAGAAGAUGCCUAGGAGAGUGAUGGCAUUUCCGAAUGUGGGGAUUCACAAAGAGCUCCAGGUACAUCCUUUGGGGAUAAUAAUCUGAUCUGCAACAUAAAGCAGAUGAAAAGUGCACAAAAUGGGGGAAAGAGGCACUGUCAAAGAAACUGACACAAAGUCAUGGAUGGGAACAACAAGUGUGCCAGGUCAGAGGGAAGGCAGCCCAGCAGAGGGCAGGUGUUUGGGCACCUGGGAGUGAGUCCACUCACUGUCAUCAGGAAUCCCUGAGAAAAUUCCAAGGGAGUUAGCCAAUCCUCCAACCUCCCAGUGAGUGGGUGCCAGUCAAAGUGGGCAAUGCACUUAAAACCAGAAGAAGAUUAAGAAGUAAAGAGGACUGCAUCAAGACUUGCCUCUGUUUCUAACUGGAAGAAUCUGCCAGCCCUUUAGAGCAGGGGUCUAACCCCUGGUACCGGUGUGUGGUCUGUUGGGAACCGGGCCACACAGCGGGAGGUGAGCGGAGGGUGGGUGAGCAUUACCCCCUGAGCUCCACCUCCUGUGACAUCAGUGGGGGCAUUAGAUUCUCACAGGAGCACAAACCCUUCCGUGAACUGUGCAUGUGAGGGAUCCAGGUUGCAUGCUCCUUACGAGAAUCUAAUGCCUGAUGAUCUGAGGUGGAACAGUUUCAUCCUGAAACCACCAUCACCUCCUGCCCCCCGACACCCAUUCCAUCAGUGGAAAAAUUGUCUUCCACAAAACUGGUCCAUGGUGCCAAAAAGGUUAGGGACUGCUGCUUUAGAGAAAGAGGGACGAAACAGGCCCGCAUGUAUGUGAAGAGACAUCUGUGUACUAAUAGUUCAGAAAAUUGUUAAGAAAGCUGCAGUCAAGUUCACCCACAAUAUCGUAUUAAUUCUUCUCCACUGAUUCUUAUUGUUUACAAAAUCCUGAGUUAGAAUGCAUCUUUCUGAUUUCUUAAAUAAGAUAAAAGAAGCAUAAACCACAACAGAAAAAGAUUGAUAAGCUUAACAAAAUGAAAAUGUAAUAUUUUUUAUAUAACAAAAGACACCAGAAAGAAAGUUAAAGCCAAUAUCAAGGACAAAAGGAGCCACAGAUUGGAGGAAUAUAUUUGUAAUGCGUGAAACUGAUAGAGAAUGAGUAUUCAGGAUACACAAAAAUCCCUGCAAAUCAUCGUUUUCGAGAAUGAACAAUUAAAAAUAAC
ensembl:lncRNA